rnacentral:lncRNA from 1 species
UCAGUGUGUGCGUGACAUCCAGCAUGAAGAGUGAGUUUGAAUGGAUCAGUGCCACCGAGACUCCUAAUCUGUUUUGGAGAAGGAAAUGCAGUUGACAUAAUUUCUGUCGUGGGCUGUGUGCCCCAUGCUCUCACGUUACCAUGACUCACCUUGCAGGAAACUGAUGUAUAGCUGUGGGUUGUGCUGGACUGGGGAACAAUACCAUUUUGAAUGCUGAGACGGGGAAAGAGUUUGCCAGACACAUGGACCUUGGGAGUGGUUUCGAUGUCUGCCAGGCAUCAGGUGGCCUCCCUCAAAUCCCAGAGUUUUGUUCACAUCACCAUGGAGCAUCAGCCAAGGCAAACACCACCUUCCUCGCUAAGCGUUUACCGUCCCCGGGUGGUUUCUGCAAUAAAAUAAUAAUCAUUGCUCUUUCCUGAGAGCUAACUCAAAGCCCUGCGUGUUGCAUCAUCUUCAAUGCCCAUUAGACCUAAAAGGCAGGAUGAUCACCAUCAUUUUUUAGAUGAGGAAACUGAGGUUCAGGGAGCUUUAAGGACUUGUUUGGGUUUGCACAAGUUUGGAAAAAGAUUUGAACACAGGUAGGUCUAACAAAUCUCUUUUGUUUUUCCCCACCAUAUUAUGCUUUACAUAAUUCUAAAAGUUUGAGAUCUAUAUGUCUGUUACAGCCUUUGUUUUUUUAGAAUUGGAGUUCUCAAGAGGCAUUUGGGUCACACAGUGACUGUGCUGGGACUCCUAGCCACCUCUACUGGCUCCCUUCACCCAAAGAUAUAAUCUUCUUGUUACUUUCCAGUCAUUUGUACUGAAAUCUCAUCAGAGAUUAAAUAUUUCCUACCCUAUUUCCAUACUCUUUAUGUUUUUUUCUUUAGAGAUAGAGUUUUGCUCUGUCACCCAGGCUGGAGUGCAGUGACCUAAUCACAGCCCACUGCAGCCUCAAACUUUCUAGGCUCAAGUGAUCCUCCUGCCUCAGCCUCCUGAGUAGCUGGGACUAUAGGUGCUUGCCACUACACCCGGCUUAUUUUUGUCUUUUUGGUAAAGAUGGGGUCUCACUAUGUUGCCCAGGCUGGCCUCAAUCUCCUAGCCCCAAACGAUCCCCUUGCUUUGGCCUCCCGAAGUUCUGGGAUUACAGGCAUGAGCCAUCUCGCCCAGCCUCUAUUUUCAUAUUCUUUAACUGCACAUUUCCCUGAGCUAGUCUCAGAUUCUGCUGUCUGUUUUUCUUACUGAUUGUGCAGAUUUUGAAUGAAGUCUCUCUCUUCUGCACAUUUGCCUUCCCCAGACAGAGCUUGCUGCGGAAGUAAAAUUUCAAAAUAAUCCUCCAACGUGUUUGUGGCCUGAAGGAGCAGAGCAGCGGUGGGAACAAUUUAAUUCCUAAUAAAGUCCAUACCUCUAAGUCGCUGCGUGUGUGCCAUUGAAACGCAGAGAAGUUGCUAGAACUCCUCCACUCCUGCAGAGCUGUUGCCUCUCUGGGCCUGUGUGACAAUGUUUGCUCUCCCUGCUGUCACUUUGCACUUCCCCGAGUCUCUCUGGAUGGCACUUCAUGAUUUCUCCCUGAAGCAAUGAUGGAAGUAUGUCAGCUGUCAAAGGUUCUGGCAGCAGAAGGCAGCUGAGAAUAAAGCGGCUUCACGGUAAUGUCGGUGACCCCCUAACCAUACCCCGCUUUCCACCGAUGAUUUGUCUGGACAGUGUUUAAAGCAGAUGAAAUAUACAUUUUUUGAAUCAGGCAACAGGAGAUGACCAGUGCUGGGUUUCAUGGGAACCAGAGGAUUUACAACUUUGCUUGGGCUCCACGUACCAGCAGGAGCCUGAUGAGGAGGGCGGCUGUGUUCUGAAUUGUUUUAGGAAGUCUCCUUCAGCCCAAGACCGUCUGGACAAAAUUGCCAUGGGAUCCUGUUGCUGCAGCAGGAUGUUACCAAGUGAGACGUUGACUCAAAGAAGGGGAGCUGAGAUCAGGAAGGCCAAGAUGGCAUCCAAAAAUUCAAACACACCAAGGAGGCCAGGUGCGAUGGCUCACGCCUGUAAUCCUAGCACUUUGGAAGACCCAGGUGGGUGGAUCACCUGAGGUUAGGAGUUUGAGACCAGCCUGGCCAACAUGGUGAAACCCCAUCUCUACUUAAAAAAAAAAAAAAUCAGCUGGGCGUGCUAGAAGGCACCUGUAAUCCCAGCUACUUGGAAGUCUGAGGCAGGAGAAUUGUUUGAACCCGGGAGGUUGAGGUUGCAGUGAGCCACGCCACUGCACUCUAGCCUGGGCAACAAGAGUGAAAUUCAGUCUCAAAAAAAAAAAAAAAAAAAAAAAAACCAAAAAACAAAACCUCCAAAGGACAUAUGUGUGCUCUUGCUCUCAGGAAGCUUGUGAUUCCUGGGGAGAAACUGAUCACACACACACCGAGUAUUGUAAAGUGAUUCAAAGUUGCACAAGGGAGAGGCAAGUUCUGAGUCUCCUCCUGCCUCCCAGUUCCCUUCCUUGAAUGCAGGGUCACUGACUGAUUGGUCACAUCCCAAGACCAUGAUUGGCUAUUUUACAAGUAGACAAGGUCACCAUGCUUUAACAGGCAAGGCCCCAUGAGCCACCUCUCUUUGUUGGAAGUUGCCUGCGUCUGGCCCUCCUCUCACUUCUUGAGUGUAGGUUUGAGGUCUGGGAAUGCUGCUGGUAGCUGUGGUCCAUCCCUUUCAAGAUUGGGAUUUGGAAGAUAAAGGAAAGAUCCUGUUUGGAGCCUGAGCCUAAGCAUAGAGUUCCAGCCUGAGGUUGCAGAGAGGCCCAGCCUUGGGUGUGGGUUCCAAGCCCAGAUGGCAAUAAAGGAGCACCCUGUCUUCCUACGGGCUGGAGUUCCUUUUGAGAGUGCUUCCUGGGAAAUGUUGUCAUAACAUUGACAGGGCAGAAUUUCAGCAUUUCUCACCCUUGGCCCUAAUAUCCAUCUCCCAAAUCACCCCCAGUGCCAGGAAUCAUUAAGAAAGCAGUGGUAGUGUUGAGACAACCAAAAGGCUGUUAGUUUGAGAACCGUCACAUAUAGCAGAUGGAAUUCUUGAAAAAGUGUCUUCAGCAUUAGGUAGAGGCAUAUUGUUAUACAUAAAGAAAGGCCGGAGAAAAACACCAAGAACUUUCUGGGGUAACUUCUCUACAGGAGGUUGCUGUGUCCCCCUAGACAGCUCUAUCAACAGGUGAGGACUGGGAAUCUAGUGGUGAAUUGAUGUGACUGGGUUGGGGCAGAAAUGCCAUGGGGCCUGAUGCAGCACAGCUGUACGUCAUGGAAAAUGAUCCCUGAGACAGUCAGCAACUGGAUGUAGAAUGAAUCUGUUUAAGUAAUGAGUGUUCGCUUUAGGAGAGCAGGAUGCAGGACAAUAGCCAGGAGAGAGCAAAACCUGUUUGAAAGAGUUGAGGGAUUUGUGAUGUCCUGCCUGACACACCAGCACCCCUGAUGAUGCUGUCAAUGGCUUUCUCUCAAUUAGUCCCCCUGGACAGGUGGAAGCCGAGGUAAGUUGGGUAAUUGAUGUCUUCAUGCUUCCACAAAGGGCCUACUUUGGGAAGAUGGAAUAUGUUAAUGCAGGUCCCUGCAUGAAGCAGGGAAUUCUGAACACAUUUGCAGGCCGGUGAAGGAAAGGUCCUUCCCCAUGUCAUGGUUCCACAUGCUCUCCACCAUAAACUUGGAAGAAUUCAAGCUGACACAUCAUGUGAAAUUCAGGGUGAAAAAAGUCUGUUGAAAUGGAUAAUGGAAUGUGGAAGACCUGUGGAACAUGUAGUUGGACCUUUAACUCUGUCUGUAUCCACACAAAAGCCUGUAAUAGAAUGUUCAAGCAUAACAUCCUUGAAUUUUUCAAAAAUAACUUUACAGCUGAUCCAUUUAUUUUGUCGGUGGGGUGAGGGGACAGAGAGAAGAAUGGGAAAGAGAGUGAGAGCAGGGAAAGAGAAGAGUGAUGAUUGAAGGGGAAGAGAAGGAAUUUUCUAACAACUCCUUGCCACAAAAUGAUGAGUGAUGGUGAGUGAUUUAAUUAGGUCAUUAAGUGGAUGAAAUAACAUGGCCAAGGUAAACUUACGUAAACUGUUUCUUAUUUAAAUUAUAUUGGAUACUUGGAUCAUCUGUUUAAUAAAAAAUCUCAUCCACUCUUCAAUAUUGGCUUAAAUCCUCUCCCCUGAACAAAACCUUUUCUAAGCACUGCAACUGGGACAUUUUUUAGUUCUUUUUACAUUUUUUUUCCAUAUUAUUUAGUUGAAACUAAUUGCAUGGAGCUCUAUUCCACGUAGUUACUUCCAUGGGUCCAUGAGUCUUAUUUCUCCCCAAAGACAUUUUUCUUAGGGAGGAAGAAACCAAGCUACAAACGUUUUUCUCAUGUGCUUCCUACACUGUGUUCUGUGCAGUAGAUGCUGCUGAACAUUUGCCAGGAGCCUGAUAUUUGGAAAGUUUGGCUCAUUUUCAAGGCUAUGCAAUUUAAUGAUACUGACAAACCCCAAAAUUUCUAGAUCCCAAUUAAGUACUUCAUUGUCCUGACUUCAUUCAUCAUAAUGGAAAAUUAACUUACUGUCUAAUAUCUCAUUUUCUUCUCUUUAAUAUAGAUAAUAAUAAACUAACCCAUGCAAAUGUAUUGAAGAAUAAUGAAUAAAUAAAAUUUACAAGCAAAUGUAAGUAUAAAGAUGUAUCUAAAUGCACAUAAUAUUAAUGGAGAUUGAUAAAAUAAACCAGCUAGUAAUGAUGUGGAAGUGAUAACAUGUACACAUCGUUUUGCAAAUCAGAUUUUUAGUGACUAAAUAGAAAAUGACUUGGAGAAAAUACAUGAGACUUUGUGAGUAAUUCUGAGGUGGGAGAGAAAUUUUUUAAAAUUCUGAGGAUGUAUGAUGGGAUUCUUUAAGACUUUCUCUCUUAGUCUCCUGAACUCUGUUUAUAGUGUACACAUUAACUUUGUUUAUAAAUUUAAUGAAUCCGUUUUUGAUUAAAUAAACAUGCGUAUGGUAAAGAAAUUCCGUGAGACUAAAUAAUUCUUCCACCCCUGUCUCCCAGUUUUCUGGUUCUCUUCCUCAGAGAAAACUACUAUGUUUCUUGAAUUUUCUUCAGAGGAUAAUUCUCUGUAGAUACAAACAUAUUUCUAAAUGUGCCUUUCACUUUUAUAGCAUGAAGUUUGGUGUCCUAAGUAAGAAUUCUACAGUUUGCUUGUUUUCACUUACCAAUAUGUCUGGAGAUUGUUCCAUACAUACAUGUCGAUCCACCUCUUUCUUUUUAACACCAGGGUCUCUGUUAUAGACAUAACACACUUGUCCAGGCAGAUAACUUCUCAGCUUAGCGUUUUCAAGGUUGUUACAUAAUAAUGAUCUUUAUAAUGGAUUUGUCCUCUUCAGAGCAGGUCUGGGCUUUUGAUGUGCCAUGUGGAUUAUUGGUGGAAAUUUAUGAGUACAUUCUUUGGAGUUGCAUUCACAUUCAAGUCUGUAUUAUAACAUUCACAAUUAUAUAACUUGGACCCUUCACCUUCUUAUUUUAAUUUAGAUUCGUUGUAAUUCUGGACUUUCAUACCACCAUUAGCCUUGAACUUAUUUUGAAGCUCUCCUAUAGGAGAGCUAGACAAGGAUGUUUCUUGUCUAAUAUCCUGGACAAUAUUCUCCAGUAGCAAUGUACAAAAGAGUUAAUGGAAGCUUAAUUUCUGGGUACUCAAACACCUGAAUAUAUCUUUAUUCUGUUCUCAUAAUUGACUUAACAAUAUGACUAGUUAUAGGUAUCUAAGUUAAAAAGAUUUUCUCCAUAAUAUAUUGGGCCUCAA